rnacentral:rRNA from 1 species
GCCUAUGGGGGGCAGCAGUGAGGAAUAUUGGUCAAUGGGAGAGAUCCUGAACCAGCCAAGCCGCGUGAGGGAAGACGGCCCUAUGGGUUGUAAACCUCUUUUGUCGGAGAACAAAACCCGGGACGUGUCCCGGACUGCGUGUAUCCGAAGAAAAAGCAUCGGCUAACUCCGUGCCAGCAGCCGCGGUAAUACGUAUGGUGCAAGCGUUAUCCGGAUUUACUGGGUGUAAAGGGAGCGCAGGCGGCGCGUUAAGCCUGGUGUGAAAGCCCGCGGCCCAACCGCGGGACUGCAUUGGGAACUGGCGC